rnacentral:rRNA from 1 species
CUGCUGCCUUCCGUAGGAGUUUGGGCCGUGUCUCAGUCCCAAUGUGGCCGGUCGCCCUCUCAGGUCGGCUACUGAUCGUCGGCUUGGUAGGCUUCUACCCCACCAACUACCUAAUCAGACGCGGGCCCAUCUUACACCACCUCAGUUUUUACCUCUGUACCAUGCGGUACUGGGGUCUUAUGCGGUAUUAGCAAUCAUUUCUAAUUGUUAUCCCCCUGUGUAAGGCAGGUUGCCCACGCGUUACUCACCCGUCCGCCGCUAAGCCA